rnacentral:lncRNA from 1 species
CGGCCUGGGUGAUUAAAACAAAUUCGGGUCUCCUGGCAGCUCGGACCCGAAUCGGAUUCAACUUUAAUUCGUGAUAUCUUUCUCUAGCAAGCUCCGAAUCAUGUGCCGUUUGAUUUGUUGCAAAGUACACUUUAAAUCCUUCCCUCUCAGCUGUAUGAAUGCUUGAUUCUUGUUGGCCCUCCCGUUCGCCUCCAUCGUAUCUCAUCUUCACCUUGGAUUUGAAAAGCUCGACAAGAUGCCUACGUAAUAAAACGAGACAAGAUAGUAGUAGCUCCGCCUCUUCAUAAAUAUGACAAUGAAAACAAUUACUACUUGAAUUCACCUGAUUAUAAAUCUUGUCAAAUAUUAUAGAAUUGAGGGCACCAAAGGUCGUAUCCAUGGUUAGCAUGUCCAUAUCAUCCUCCCUUUCUUGAAAGGAAAGCCGUCCUCGGCGUCGUUUGUGCUGUAAAGAGACUGACAAAAUAGACAAAGUGUGUGCAUGGUAUAUGUAUAUGUCAUCCAUCUUUAUACAUCUCCUUUCUUGCACAAUUAAUCUUUUAUAACAAAGUCUCAUGACAUAAUUAGUAAAACAAUCAUGAUGAAUAACAUUCCAGCAAGAAGAUUGACAAUAUUGUUUGCAUUUAUAAGCGAAACGAUUUCUUGUAUUUGGUUUGCACCGCUCACCAUUACACCAUCCCAACAUUGGACAAUAAUAAUGAAUAGUAUCCAAAUUAGUUACUACAAUAUGCUGAAAUUUAGAGCAAGUCAAAGCACUAAUAUUCAAACAAGCAUGUAAAUAACUAUUUGGCAAAUAAUCAACACCUAUAUUGGAGGUCCUAUCAAAAUGAUUAAGCAUGUGCAAAAAUUGAUUUUCUCCCAAGAGAGGAAAAUUAUCACAAGUAGUGCAAAUCUCAUGCACCAAAAUGAUAUUGUUCACAUCAUGUUGUCCAAUUAAAUGAAUUGUGUAUCCAUGAACAGCAAAAGAUUUCAAAGUUGUUAACUCACACAGUUUAUCCAUUGCAUGCGACAAAUACAUGGGACUAUCAAGUGCAAUAUAACACAAAGAAUUAAUAGGUGGAUCGUUCUCAAUCACUCCAUGUGUAAUUAAGUCGACACAACCUAAACCAAAUUUAUCUACAUCACAUGUUUCUCCCAAAACAUUAGUUAUUUCCUCACAUGAUUCAUUCUCAUCAAUAUCAAAAUUAAUAUGUGCACUCAAAUCAUUAGAAGAAUUAAUUUCAGCAGUAGGUGCACUCAAAUCAGCAUGUAAAUCAACAAUUUCACAUGGUGCAGAAAAUUCAACGAGUAUCUCAUUUAUUUGAUCACAUGUCAUAUUUUGUUCAGCAACACAAUCGUCUUUAUCAUUACCUUGUAGGCUCAACACGUUUCUUGUACACCUUCUCUCCAAUUUCCUCUCCGCUUCACGAGCAAGAUUAAACAAACACAAUAGAGAGUCGUAUUUUCCGUAUUCAAUUAUGUAAGAAAUAUCAAAGUUAAGCCCACAAUAAAACCUAUCCAUUUUUCUUUGUUCGGUUUCAUCUAAACCAGAUCGCAAGGUUAAAAUUUGGAACUCAUGGUAGUAAUCAUCAACAGUUUUAUCAUCUUGUGUCAAACGUCGUAAUUUGGAACGCAACUCAUAAGCAUAACUUGGAGGAACAUAUUUUUCUCUCAUGAUUUUCUUCAUACCAAUCCAAGUGUGAGGUAUUUUGUUUUCUCUAACUAUCUCACACCACCAUGAUAAUGCAUCAAAACGAAAUUUACUACUAGCAAUUUGGACCUUACGACUAUCUAGUACCUGGAAGCAUGUGAAUUGUUCAGUUAAAGCUAGCUCCCAAUCUAUAUACGUUUCAGCAUCAUUUUCCCCCUCAAAGAAAGGUACACACAAUUUAAUUGUAUUAGAAGGAUUGUUUUGUACCGUUGCCGUGGCAUUAUGAACAAGAGACGUGGAGGAUGGUCGUGGUGAAAAGCACUCAUCGCGGUCACGGGAUAGCAUCGGUCUAGUUGCCAUGCUUCGUGUAAGUCCUGUCAUGGUUAGUAGAAAACAAGAAACAAAUCACAGUAAUAUGUUCCUAUCAACUACUAGGAUGUGGCUACAAGUCGCUCAACUCUCAAGCUAAAAAUCAAGUUCUUACAAGUUCUUACCAUGCAAAACAGGAAGGUGAUGGCCAGCGGCGUGACCAAGCCCUCCGAAGAUUAAAUGUAUCGAUGCCUCGGUAACAAACCAACCUAGGUGUAGAAUCUGUGGAGCUUGGAGGCUUUUGUGAGUAGCAAAGAAUAGCAAAUAAUCAAAUCAGCAAUGCAAAGUUGAAAAUAUGCUCAAUAAUGCUAGUCCUAGCUGCUGGAGUCGAUAAGAACGAAUUACAGAAAUAAUCUACGCCUAGACACUGAAGAAGGUAGGAUAGAAAGAUGGCACAAGAAGUAAAUCUCUGGGAUUUUUUUUUUCUUUUUUUUUUCCUUUUUGUGGCCUUCUGUUUGGCUUCUUAUUCUUUUCUUCUUCUUUUUUUUUCUUUUUUUUCUUUUUUUACCUCAGAAACUCACGCAAAAGAAGGACCGGAAAACUGUACGUCGGUCUGUCGAAGAACAGCAAAGGCUGCAGUAAGAAAAAUUCAGAAAAAUAUGGAAAGAUAUGGGUUAGAAGGGUAUCGACACAAGCUUUCCAGCAAGGGCAAGAUCACUCAAAACGGAUAUCGGACGGUGGAGAAACUGAGAAACACCGGGCUGCAGCGACGUCGGAAAACGGAUGCAAAAACUUGGAAGCUCAGAAAGUCCACCUUACAAACCGAAUUUGGGGGUCAAAGUGCAGGGCAACGCCCUGGAUAUUUCCUGAUGCGCCUCGUCCUGAGCUUUCCAAAAAGUCCAAGAACGUCCAAAUCCGAGUUGGUACGCAAAAGAUACGCCCGUUUUACUGAACACGGAUCAAACCCACCCGAAACUAAAAAUUCUACUCGGACUCGGGUCCGAAACUGACUCGAACUCUUUUUUUUUUUCGUUUUUUUUUUCUUUCUUUCCUUUUUUUUCUUUCCUUUCCAAACAACUUUAUCUCUAAACAAAAUUCGAUCUAUGAUGAAACACUUUCCAAAAGCACUCCUUAUUGGACUCGGACUCGGAUUCGCGGCUGAAAACUAUAACUUGCCGACUCGAUGUAGGACUCGACGAGGGACUCGGUGUAGGACUCGAAGAGGGACUCGGUGUAGGACUCGAUGAGGGACUCGGUGUAGGACUCCAAGAGGGACUCGGUGUAGGACUCAAAGAGGGACUCGGUGUAGGACUCCAAGAGGGACUCGGUGUAGGACUCGAAGAGGGACUCGGUGUAGGACUCGAUGAGGGACUCGAUGUAGGACUCAAAGAGGGACUCGGUGGAAGAUAUGGUGGCGGCGGAAGAUUAUGGCGGUGGUGUGGCAGGAAGUUUGGCGGCGGAAGAUUGAUGAAGGAAACCUGCGUCACACGAAGAACAAGAAAACCAAAAGCAAGUUCGAUCUAGUAGAAAAAAUCUGAAAAACGAUCCAAUCUAAUCCAGCAACUCGACACGAUUAAUGCAGCAAAGAUUCAACAAUGCAAAUACUAAUGUGAAAAUUGCAAGGCUCAGAUUGGUUCUAGGACAAGGUAACUAAUUCUAAUUUUUGUUUGGCUUUUUCUGGACGAUAGGUAAAAACAGAUCUAAACUACGGAUAAACUGGAAAAAUCUCACCGAGCAACCUUAAGCUCUGAUACCACGUGAUACGGGUGCGGGUGGCCCGAUCUUUCGAUGAGAUUGGUAACUCUCGAUUUGGGUAGGAGGUGACGUUGACGAUCCGACUACGGCCUAGGAGGCAGCGCCUUAGCAAUCGAUACACCAACUCCAAAGGGUUAUUGAUCACGCGGGGGCACGAUCAACCUGACCACGAAGGUCUUUGUUCCUGCAAGCAAUCGAAGAACAAGCAAGAACAAGAUAAAUAGCGGAUGCAAUCUAAAAUUGCGAAUAUACUAUAUCAAACCAAUGUCUCAACGAGACGAUAAGUUGGGGUUCCGAAAGCGGUAAAACAGGUGGUCUAACCGACACACGCGAUUACACGAAGUAGUAGCGAUGGCUAACUUUUAACUAAACAAAACCCCAGGCUCCUUAGGGGGGCUCAUGGGGUAUAUAAAGGAGGAAGAGAGAUAUUUUCGUCCACCUUGAAUAACGAGUCCGAAAUCCAACUCUAUCUCUAACUUUCCUAACAAACUACAACUCUUUAGGAAACAGAAAAACAGAUCCGUCAGCUUGUUUUGUCCGUCACGGUCAGCACGAGUCGAAUCUCUUGAUGGGGCCAGAUCCGUUGGAAAGCUCUUGUAAUUACCUUUCCAACAAGUACUUGUUUGCUUGAUUUGGACUCCGGAUGCGGCCUGGGUGAUUAAAACAAAUUCGGGUCUCCUGGCAGCUCGGACCCGAAUCGGAUUCAACUUUAAUUCGUGAUAUCUUUCUCUAGCAAGCUCCGAAUCAUGUGCCGUUUGAUUUGUUGCAAAGUACACUUUAAAUCCUUCCCUCUCAGCUGUAUGAAUGCUUGAUUCUUGUUGGCCCUCCCGUUCGCCUCCAUCGUAUCUCAUCUUCACCUUGGAUUUGAAAAGCUCGACAAGAUGCCUACGUAAUAAAACGAGACAAGAUAGUAGUAGCUCCGCCUCUUCAUAAAUAUGACAAUGAAAACAAUUACUACUUGAAUUCACCUGAUUAUAAAUCUUGUCAAAUAUUAUAGAAUUGAGGGCACCAAAG